UGGGGAAUAUUGGACAAUGGGCGCAAGCCUGAUCCAGCCAUGCCGCGUGAGUGAUGAAGGCCAUAGGGUUGUAAAGCUCUUUCACCGGUGAAGAUAAUGACGGUAACCGGAGAAGAAGCCCCGGCUAACUUCGUGCCAGCAGCCGCGGUAAUACGAAGGGGGCUAGCGUUGUUCGGAUUUACUGGGCGUAAAGCGCACGUAGGCGGACUUUUAAGUCAGGGGUGAAAUCCCGGGGCUCAACCCCGGAACUGCCUUUGAUACUGGAAGUCGUGAGUAUGGUAGAGGUGAGUGGAAGUCCGAGUGUAGAGGUGAAAUUCGUAGAUAUUCGGAGGAACACCAGUGGCGAAGGCGGCUCACUGGACCAUUACUGACGCUGAGGUGCGAAAGCGGGGGGAGCAAACAGG
rnacentral:rRNA from 1 species